GCACCCUGAUCCAGCCAUGCCGCGUGAGUGAUGAAGGCCUUAGGGUCGUAAAGCUCUUUCGCCUGUGAAGAUAAUGACUGUAGCAGGUAAAGAAACCCCGGCUAACUCCGUGCCAGCAGCCGCGGUAAUACGGAGGGGGUUAGCGUUGUUCGGAAUUACUGGGCGUAAAGCGCGCGUAGGCGGACUGGAAAGUUGGGGGUGAAAUCCCAGGGCUCAACCCUGGAACUGCCUCCAAAACUAUCAGUCUAGAGUUCGAGAGAGGUGAGUGGAAUUCCGAGUGUAGAGGUGAAAUUCGUAGAUAUUCGGAGGAACACCAGUGGCGAAGGCGGCUCACUGGCUCGAUACUGACGCUGAGGUGCGAAAGUGUGGGGAGCAAACAGGAUUAGAUACCCUGGUAGUCCACACCGUAAACGAUGAAUGCCAGUCGUCGGGUAGCAUGCUAUUCGGUGACACACCUAACGGAUUAAGCAUUCCGCCUGGGGAGUACGGUCGCAAGAUUAAAACUCAAAU
rnacentral:rRNA from 1 species